CCCACAGGGACCUGGUUGUCAGAUGCACGGGUCUCACUAUGGGAGCUGUCCCCACCUGCUCUGCCUGAGGAGCCACUCCUCACAACGGCCCCGCCCCAAACUGCGCCAGCCAGUCCCAGCUGCUAAGGGCCCAGGCGAGCACAGUGUUCCAUGCCGACCGGUGCAGGUGCACUUACCCGCGUCCCUCUCCCCGCUGCCCAGGAGAAUGAGGACAAUGUGAUGCUCAGCCGCUGAGGCCAAUCCAGGGAGCCUGCCUUGAUCUCUGCGAUCAGGAAUGUGGCUGAGCAGAUGCAGCUUCUACCUCCAAAGGGACACGCCUCUCAGAUGCUCUGUUGCUAGAAGGGUCCUGGCAGUGCAGGGAAAGGUGGCUCUGCACUGGAGGCUCCACAUAAAGGGCUCAAAACUUCUGGUCCAGUGUCUAAAAGCUGUUCACAGGGAUGACUGGACCCUACUAAGCGUUCUUUCAUCUGUAGUGAACAUUUCACCAAAAAAAACUCUUGGACAGGCUGGAGGAUCAGUACUACGUGCUCAAGCCCACGGCCUUGCCCUCCAACUUCCACCUGACUGAGAAGGAGGAGCUGAAGGCCGUGGCCACCCAGGAGAAAUGACACCAAGAUAGCCGCCGGGGACCUAAGGAACAUGCGAGUCAAGCAGAUGGGAAAGGAGCUUCAGGUUCAUCCUCAUCCUUGAGGGAAAACCUGAGGGCCCAGCCAGGGUCCCGCAAGUUGAAGCGAGCCUCUCUGCAGGGCGAACCCGCACCCAGUGCCACCCAGGAAGCCACCAGUCAGGCGCGGGCACAGAGUCUCUGGAAGGAACUCCAGGAGACAAUGUGGCCUCCACAGUGUGUGGCAGCCUGGGAGAUGCAAACACAUCUGCUGUAGAUGCUGGCGAUGAGACCCCCUCUGCCCAGCCAGGGCCGGCUGGUUUCUCCUCAGCACACACUCAAGAGAGGCCAUCUGUCCCUUGAGAGGCUGUUGACCGAAAGAGGCUGAAGAGAGAUGUGGAGCCCAGCUACAGCGGGACCAGCCCUGGGCCUGAUGAGAGCUUGGCCCAGAGCCCCCACAUUCAUCAUUCACAAUGAUGCCUCAGAAACCCUCCAGAGCCCCUUCACCCUCCAACAGAUGUCACCCCCGAGCCAGCGGAAGAAGAUGUGCAGGGCGAACACAGCGACACCGGCCCCACGUCCCUCAGCGGGGUCAUCCUGUCAGCACUGGGGGCCCAAGAACAACUCGACUUGCUGUCUC